rnacentral:rRNA from 1 species
CCUACGGGAGACAGCAGUGAGGAAUAUUGGUCAAUGGCCGGAAGGCUGAACCAGCCAUGCCGCGUGAAGGUCAGUGCCCUAUGGGCGUUAAACUUCUUUUGUGCGGGAGCAAUAAUGGUCACGUGUGGCCAGACUAGAGUACCGUACGAAUAAUCAUCGGCUAACCCCGUGCCAGCAGCCGCGGUAAUACGGGGGAUGCAAACGUUAUCCGGGUUUAUUGGGUUUAAAGGGUGCGUAGGCUGGGAGGAAAGUCAGCGGUGAAAUGCCCCCGCUCAACGGGGUGAAGUGCCAUUGAUACUGCCUAGCUGGAAUGCGGAUGCGGUGGGAGGAAUGUGUGGUGUAGCGGUGAAAUGCAUAGAUAUCACACAGAACACCGAUUGCGAAGGCAUCUCACGAAUCCGCGAUUGACGCUGAUGCACGAAAGCGUGGGUAUCAAACAGGAUUAGAUACCCGGGUAGUC